GUUGCUCGUUCUUCGACUGCCAUUACGCGACGUACCCAUAAUUCCUUUCAUAGAGUUGUGCAUAGUAUUUGAGCUGCAAGCAAGUGCAGCAGGGGGUGCGUUCCUAAACUUAAUCAAACGACCUUAUGAGUGCCUAAGAAAUGGGAAUUUAUCAGGACUCGACACCACAAAAUGAAUGGAUCAACCGGAUUUGGACCUUGGACUUCGCCCUGGAUCUCCCCCUGGACUCCGUUGGACUUGUUUGCCGUGGCCACUCCCCCCGAGCACCAGUUCACUUUCGUCACGCCCCUCUGUUUGUUAACCUGCCAUGAUCCUCGUCGUCUCCUCCCUGUUGUCCUUUCGACUUACUUCCGGAUUAUACCGUCUGCACAGGGUCCUGAACUAAGUUUCACGGGAGCCUGGACCGGCUCUGGUUGCAGUAGCCAUUACAAUGAUUAGUGAGCAGGAAGAGGCCACAUAAUGUCACAGUUCAUGGGAACUCUCACUCUUGCCCGUUCACAAAGUUCACGAUUUUGUGCUUAAUUGGAAAUUUGUAAAUCAUUUCUAUAUCUCUAUAUAUAUAUGUUUAAUAAUCAGUCUGAAAAUAAUCAGUCUUUAAUUGAUUUUUGUAAAAAUCUUAUUGUGAGAAUGUUUAAGUUUGUGUUUGUUCUGUGUGUGCUCUGGAAUGAACUGGCUUCCAUCCA